AUUGAACGCUGGCGGCAUGCCUUACACAUGCAAGUCGAACGGUAACAGGUCUUCGGAUGCUGACGAGUGGCGAACGGGUGAGUAAUACAUCGGAACGUGCCUAGUAGUGGGGGAUAACUACUGGAAAGAGUGGCUAAUACCGCAUGAGAUCUACGGAUGAAAGCAGGGGAUCGCAAGACCUUGUGCUACUUGAGAGGCCGAUGGCAGAUUAGGUAGUUGGUGGGAUAAAAGCUUACCAAGCCGACGAUCUGUAGCUGGUCUGAGAGGACGAUCAGCCACACUGGGACUGAGACACGGCCCAGACUCCUACGGGAGGCAGCAGUGGGGAAUUUUGGACAAUGGGCGAAAGCCUGAUCCAGCAAUGCCGCGUGCAGGAUGAAGGCCUUCGGGUUGUAAACUGCUUUUGUACGGAACGAAAAGCCCCGGGUUAAUACCCUGGGGUCAUGACGGUACCGUAAGAAUAAGCACCGGCUAACUACGUGCCAGCCGCCGCGGUAA
rnacentral:rRNA from 1 species